AUUGAACGCUGGCGGAAUGCUUUACACAUGCAAGUCGAACGGUAGAGGGGGCAACCCCUUGAGAGUGGCGAACGGGUGAGUAAUAUAUCGGAACGUGCCCAGUCGUGGGGGAUAACGUAGCGAAAGCUACGCUAAAUACCGCAUACGAUCUAUGGAUGAAAGCGGGGGAUCGCAAGACCUCGCGCGAUUGGAGCGGCCGAUAUCAGAUUAGGUAGUUGGUGAGGUAAAGGCUCACCAAGCCGACGAUCUGUAGCUGGUCUGAGAGGACGACCAGCCACACUGGGACUGA
rnacentral:rRNA from 1 species